rnacentral:rRNA from 1 species
AUGGCGAUCAGGUCUUUGCUGCUCCCUCUGGCCCUGCUGGCCCUCGCAGCUAGCUCGGCAGCGGUGGCUAAUCUUGAGAUCGGCUUCUACAGCAAGACAUGCCCGGACGCCGAGAAGAUCGUCCGCGAGGAGAUGGCCAAGAUCAUCGCCGCCGCGCCCAGCCUCGCCGGCCCGCUCCUCCGGCUCCAUUUCCACGACUGCUUCGUCAGAGGUUGUGAUGCCUCCGUCCUCCUGGAAUCCACGGAGGGCAAUGUGGCGGAGAAGGACGCCAAACCGAACAAGAGCCUGCGAGGGUUCGGCUCCGUGGAGCGGGUGAAGGCCAAGCUCGAGGCCGCGUGCCCUGGCAUCGUCUCCUGCGCCGACGUGCUCACCCUCAUGUCCCGCGACGCCGUCGUGCUGGCCAAGGGCCCCUCCUGGCCGGUGGCGCUGGGAAGGAGAGACGGCAGGGUGUCCAGCGCCGCGGAGGCGAGCACCCAGCUGCCCCCGGCCUCCGGCGACGUCCCUCUGCUCGCCAAGAUCUUCGCCUCCAAGGGGCUCGGCCUCAAGGACCUCGUCGUGCUCUCCGGCGCCCACACGCUCGGCACGGCGCACUGCCCAUCUUUCGCGGACCGGCUCUACAACACCACCGACGGCCUCGUCGACCCGUCCCUGGACAGCGAAUACGCCGACAAGCUGAGGCUCAGGUGCAGGAGCGUGGACGACCGCGCCAUGCUGUCGGAGAUGGACCCCGGCAGCUUCAGGACCUUCGACACCAGCUACUACCGCCACGUCGCCAAGCGGAGGGGCCUCUUCCGCUCCGACGCUGCGCUCCUCUUCGACGCCGGCACCAGGGACUACGUCCGGCGCAUCGCCACCGGAAAGUUCGACGGCGAGUUCUUCGGGGACUUCAGCGCGUCCAUGGCCAAGAUGGGCGACGUCGGCGUGCUCACCGGGGCCGAGGGAGAGAUCAGGAAGAAAUGCCACGCCCUCAAUUAA